rnacentral:rRNA from 1 species
UACGUAGGGAGCAAGCGUUGUCCGGAAUCAUUGGGCGUAAAGGGCGCGUAGGCGGCCUGUUAAGUCAAGUGUGAAAAUCAACGGCUCAACCGUUGAACUGCGCUUGAAACUGGCGGGCUAGAGAUCAGGAGAGGAAAGUGGAAUUCCUAGUGUAGCGGUGAAAUGCGUAGAUAUUAGGAAGAACAUCUAUGGCGAAGGCAGCUUUCUGGACUGACACUGACGCUGAGGCGCGAAAGCGUGGGGAGCAAACAGGAUUAGAUACCCUGGUAGUCCACGCCGUAAACGAUGGAUACUAGGUGUAGGGGGUUCGAUUCCCUCUGUGCCGCAGUUAACGCAAUAAGUAUCCCGCCUGGGGAGUACGGUCGCAAGAUUGAA